rnacentral:rRNA from 1 species
UACGUAGGGGGCAAGCGUUGUCCGGAUUUAUUGGGCGUAAAGAGCGUGUAGGCGGCCAGACAUGUCUGCUGUGAAAACUCGAGGCUCAACCUCGAGACGCCGGUGGAAACCGUCUGGCUAGAGUCCGGAAGAGGAGAGUGGAAUUCCUGGUGUAGCGGUGAAAUGCGCAGAUAUCAGGAAGAACACCCGUGGCUAAGGCGGCUCUCUAGUACGGUACUGACGCUGAGACGCGAAAGCGUGGGGAGCGAACAGG